UUUUAGAAAUCCGCACGGUAGACAAGGCAGACAUCACUUAUUGUCAAGGCUGGGGCUGUCCAGGCUCCCUACACAUGGUUACUUAAUGAAGCACAUUUUAACAUCGCUAAUUCCAAUGCUGCCCAGCUGAUUGGCAGAGUAUCCACUACUAGGUUCAUGGUUUUUUCUGGUGGGACACUUUACACAUGCCGUGGUGCACAUAACAAAACUUAUUCUGCACAUGGAUGGCAAAGAUUAGAGGGACCAUUGUCUGGAAUAUUUUAAGUGACCCCCCCUGUUGCUUGGUCAUUGGGCUGCCAGUACAUGACCCUUUUUCAUUCUCAAGUUAAUUGCCUCUGUUGGUUGGAUUGCUUUGGUUACCUUAAUUACUCCUGUGCUUCCAUUCUCUGGUGUUCAAAGCUUGACCUCUGCAGACAGGGCCUAUCAAUAUUCCUUUCUCCUGAACAAACCUGUGCUUGAAUUGCUUCCUUUAGACAUUUAGUAACACGCUUCUAGCAUUCCUACGUAGCUGUAUAUAUGUCACAAGAACACUAAUUACCCAUUGCUUCUGGGCUCUAGUAAAACGUCCCUACUCGACACAACAGAUUCUGUACAAUACUGUACUAAUAGAUUCAAUUGCUGUGAUGUCCAGCUCCUGGAGUGUUUAGACUUUGAUGGUCACAGGCAGGUCAGCAAGCAGGGGAAAUGGAUUAGUGGCUAUUUCAGUUCACGGUGGAAGUGACCGAAUA